UACGUAGGGUGCGAGCGUUAAUCGGAAUUACUGGGCGUAAAGCGGGCGCAGACGGUUCGUUAAGCAAGAUGUGAAAUCCCCGGGCUCAACCUGGGAACUGCGUUUUGAACUGGCGGACUAGAGUGUGUCAGAGGGGGGUAGAAUUCCACGUGUAGCAGUGAAAUGCGUAGAGAUCUGGAGGAAUACCGGUGGCGAAGGCGGCCCCCUGGACGAAGACUGACGCUCAGGUGCGAAAGCGUGGGGAGCAAACAGG
rnacentral:rRNA from 1 species